ensembl:processed_transcript
ACAGCAGCAACUUCUACAGUUCUGCGCAGAACAAACGAGCUCCGAAACUCGGACAGAUCGGGCGCAGCAAGAGAGUUGUCAUAGAGGACGACAGAAUUGACGAAGUCCUGAACAACACAGCGGAGAAGUCAUCGGCGGGAGUGUAACGCUCAAGGACACUGUUAAAGCGUCAGGAAAUCGUGGGUUCUGUGCAUUCUGCAUUGAAAGCACUUUGCAGUCCUGCUUAGCAUGGGUUGAAUUUCACGAUGCGGCAGCAGGCGAGGACCAGCCCAAAACAAAGAGGGAGUCCGUGCUGCUUUACAUCU